GGCGGACGGGUGAGUAACACGUAGGAAUCUAUCCGUGGGGGUGGGGGAACAACAGGACGGGAAACUGCUGCUAAUACCGCAUGAUACCUGGAGGGUCAAAGGCGCAAGUCGCCUUAGGAGGAGCCUGCGUCUGAUUAGCUUGUUGGUGGUAAGGCCUACCAAGGCGACGAUCAGUAGCUGGUCUGAGAGGAUGAUCAGCCACACUGGGACUGAGACACGGCCCAGACUCCUACGGGAGGCAGCAGUGGGGAAUAUUGGACAAUGGGCGCAAGCCUGAUCCAGCAAUGCCGCGUGGGUGAAGAAGGUCUUCGGGUUGUAAACCCACUUUUGGCGGGAAAGAAAUGGUCUGUGCUAAUACCACGGAUUGAUGACGGUACCCGCAGAAUAAGCACCGGCUAACUACGUG
rnacentral:rRNA from 1 species